GUGCUUGCUUCGGCAGCAUAUAUACUAAAAUUGGAACGAUACAGAGAAGAUUAGCAUGGCCCCUGAGCAAGGAUGACAACACAAAUUCGUAAAGCAUUCCAUUAAAAA